CCUCCAUUUCUUGGCAUACAUGUAGUUGUUUAGUACUCAUGUGUGUUAUGUACGGAGGAAAAACAAAUGCAGCGCUAUGUCUUCGGUACCGGUGUGUCUUCUAUCGUCUGCCGGUUCUAUCCUCAAUCGCUGUUACAUUC
ensembl:snoRNA Small nucleolar RNA SNORA57